UGGGGAAUUUUGGGCAAUGGGCGAAAGCCUGACCCAGCAACGCCGCGUGAAGGAUGAAGUAUUUCGGUAUGUAAACUUCGAAAGAAUAGGAAGAAUAAAUGACGGUACUAUUUAUAAGGUCCGGCUAACUACGUGCCAGCAGCCGCGGUAAUACGUAGGGACCAAGCGUUGUUCGGAUUUACUGGGCGUAAAGGGCGCGUAGGCGGCAUGACAAGUCACUUGUGAAAUCUCUGGGCUUAACCCAGAACGGCCAAGUGAUACUGUCGCGCUAGAGUGCAGAAGGGGCAAUCGGAAUUCUUGGUGUAGCGGUGAAAUGCGUAGAUAUCAAGAGGAACACCUGAGGUGAAGACGGGUUGCUGGGCUGACACUGACGCUGAGGCGCGAAAGCCAGGGGAGCAAACGGGAUUAGAUACCCCAGUAGUCCCUGAGCGGGCUGGCAAGGCGCAU
rnacentral:rRNA from 1 species